CCUACGGGUGGCAGCAGUGCGGAAUAUUGGUCAAUGGGCGGGAGCCUGAACCAGCCAAGUCGCGUGAGGGAAGACGGUCCUAUGGAUUGUAAACCUCUUUAGGCGGGGAGCAAUGCCGGGCACGUGUGCCCGGAGGGAGAGUACCCGCAGAAUAAGCAUCGGCUAACUCCGUGCCAGCAGCCGCGGUAAUACGGAGGAUGCGAGCGUUAUCCGGAUUUAUUGGGUUUAAAGGGAGCGUAGACGGAAAGGCAAGUCAGAAGUGAAAACCCAAGGCUCAACCAUGGGACUGCUUUUGAAACUGUCAAACUAGAGUACGGGAGAGGUAAGAGGAAUUCCUAGUGUAGCGGUGAAAUGCGUAGAUAUUAGGAGGAACACCAGUGGCGAAGGCGUCUUACUGGACCGAAACUGACGUUGAGGCUCGAAAGCGUGGGGAGCAAACAGGAUUAGAUACCCCAGUAGUC
rnacentral:rRNA from 1 species